UGGACAGAUUAUUGUAUUCGACUGUAUUCACGGUGUGAAACAGGGGAUUACACUGUUUUUAAAUGGAAAGUGAAUCAAUUAACAUAAUAACUCCU
rfam:Nicotiana sylvestris Nsyl_contig42788, whole genome shotgun sequence.